rnacentral:siRNA from 1 species
AAGUAAUGGUGUCUUAAUCACGG